rnacentral:misc_RNA from 1 species
AGUCAACCAAACCCAGCCUAUCUGCCGAGCCACCAAGAGGAUAAAUUUCACCCAUGUUUGGCAAACCUUCGAUUCCCCACAUAGCUGCUUGAGAUGCAUAUUCUAAAUCCUGAGAAAGAUCAAGCACAUUUGGAGGAUGAAUUCCUGUUAUGUCACGCUUGAGAGAACUAUUUGAGUUAUGGGACAAACAUGGUCGUUCAAAAGUUGACUGAGCAAGAAGCUCAAGGACCAUGA